GCAGCACCUUCCUUCGAUUCAGAAACUGCCCUUGCUGUUAGAAUUUGGUUAGAUUUGUAGUUAAAUCCUAUUUGGAUAAGAAUUAAUAUUUAAAUCUGUUUGAGAUAAAUUAAGAUUUAAAUAUUAAUUAGAGGAUAAAUCUAACUAGAUUAGGAUUAAUAUUUAAAUCUAUUAGAGAUUAAUUAAGAUAGAUUUAGAUAUUAAUUGGAAUAGAAAUCCUAAAUAUAUUAGGAUUGGGGUACGUUUUAGUGGAGCUUUAUAAAUAGCUCUUUGUUGGUUUGUUUUUGAGGUGAAGUACGGGAGAGAGAGAGAGAGAGUCUCUUGGGUUGCCGUACCAGAGAGAGAAAAAGAGAGAGAGAAAGAGAGUUAUUUAAUUAUGCUUUGAGUGCACCUAGUGCACGGGUGCAUGUGAAGGAUUGUCUUCUUUAUGGAUUUAUAGAAGACGAGAGAAUGGUAGAAAAGAUUCAGAAAGAGGGCUCGGGUUGUAGCUACUCUGUGCAGUAGAGGAGUCAGGUGUAAUCUUCUCUUAUUUAAUGAAUCUUAUUUUACUCGUAUAUUUUCUAUUUUUUGGUAUUUCUCUCUUUUAUGAUUGUAUCAGCUUUUGCUGAGGAGACGGGUUUAUGGUAAAAAUCCGAUUCGACAUUUCCGUUGCGGAAUCCCAACAAUCAAUACCGAAUCCACAGCAAUCGGUAUCGGAGCGGGUUGUGGAUUCACGAGAUCCGGUACCGGGGCGAGUACCGGAUUCCCAACAAGUGGUAUCAGAGCCGAAGGUUACCGAUCUGCGGGAGAAAUCGACAAAGAUGGCCACGAAAUUCGAAAUCGAGAAGUUCGACGGCAAGAACAAUUUCGGAUUAUGGCAAAUUAAAGUACGAGCAAUCCUCGUACAGCAAGAAUUGGACGAGACAUUGAACGGGAAGGAGGCGAAGCCGGCGGAGGUCACGGAUGCGACAUGGACGAAGAUGGAGCGGAAGGCACUGAGUACGCUUCAUCUCUCAUUAGCAGAUGAGGUUCUUUACAACGUAGCCAGUGAGACGACACCAGCGAAGUUGUGGAAGAAACUAGAAGAUCUGUAUAUGACCAAAUCCUUGACGAACAGGUUAUAUCUGAUGCAGCGAUUGUUUACGCUGCGGAUGCAUGAAGCGGCAAGCCUACAUGAUCAUCUGAACGAGUUCAACAAGGUGGUGGCCCAGUUGACCAGCAUCGGAGUCAAUCUGGAUGAUGAAGACAAGGCGUUGAUCCUACUAUCUUCGCUACCGACGACAUAUGAGCAUCUGGUGACCACGUUGCUUUAUGGCGAGGAGUCCAUAAGCGUGGAGGCGGUCACGGCGGCGCUUCUCUCGAACGAGAUGCGGAAGAUGACUCAGGAGUCCGGCACACAGAGCAGGGAUAUAGCUUUGGUGGUGAGAGCGAAGAAGGAGGCGACAACAUCAGCGACCGGAUAUCGACAGAAGAAACCGCUAUCUGAGGUAGAAUGCUUUUACUGUCACAGGAAGGGGCAUAUCAAGCGCAAUUGUCGAAAACUUCAGGAUAAUCUGAAGGAGUUAAAGCGACAGACGGAGCAAACUGUCGUGAACCAGGAUGAGACGGUAUCAGCGACGGCGCAGACAGCAGAAUCGGAGAUGAUCGAUUCUGAUGUGCUAUAUGCAGCGACCGGAGGUGCGAAAAUUUCGGAUGACGCGUGGGUGCUCGAUUCGGCGUGUUCUUUUCACGUAUGCCCGGAGAAGGAGUCUUUUGCAACCUAUAAGACGAUCAAAGGUGGAAAAGCUCUAAUGGGGAACGGGACGACGUGCAAAGUUUUGGGAGUCGGCACGGUGAAGAUCCGAAUGCACGAUGGAGUCGUGAGGACGCUGACAGGUGUGCAACACAUUCCUGGAUUGAGACGAAAUUUGAUCUCGUUAGGCGCGUUGGACUCGAAAGGUUGUGAUAUUUCGGCUUCAGGUGGAGCUAUGAGUGUCCGAAAACGAGAUCGGAUCGUAUGCGAGGCGAACAAGCGUGGGAACUUAUACAUUCUGAACGGGAGCACAGCCAGAACGGGAGCGAAGACGGUUUGGGUUCCAAAAGUUCGCGGAUGUGCAGUUGCUCGAGACGGAGCGACGGAUGCGGCGACAUCGAGCGGAGGAGACAAGCUCAAGGUGGAGCUUGCAUGGUGAGCUCGACGUAGCGGUUGAAAAUUACAAAUCAAACCAAGGUGGAAAAUGUUAGAAUUUGGUUAGAUUUGUAGUUAAAUCCUAUUUGGAUAAGAAUUAAUAUUUAAAUCUGUUUGAGAUAAAUUAAGAUUUAAAUAUUAAUUAGAGGAUAAACCUAACUAGAUUAGGAUUAAUAUUUAAAUCUAUUAGAGAUUAAUUAAGAUAGAUUUAGAUAUUAAUUGGAAUAGAAAUCCUAACUAUAUUAGGAUUGGGGUACAUUUUAGUGGAGCCUUAUAAAUAGCUCUUUGUGAGUUUGCUUUUGAGGUGAAGUACGGGAGAGAGAGAGAGAGUCUCUUGGGUUGCCGUACCAGAGAGAGAAAAAGAGAGAGAGAGUUUGCUUUUGAGGUGAAGUACGGGAGAGAGAGAGAGAGUCUCUUGGGUUGCCGUACCAGAGAGAGAAAAAGAGAGAGAGAGAGAGAGAGAGUUAUUUAAUUAUGCUUUGAGUGCACCUAGUGCACGGGUGCAUGUGAAGGAUUGUCUUCUUUAUGGAUUUAUAGAAGACGAGAGAAGGGUAGAAAAGAUUCAGAAAGAGGGCUCGAGUUGUAGCUACUCUGUGCAGAAGAGGAGUCAGGUGUAAUCUUCUCUUAUUUAAUGAAUCUUAUUUUACUCGUAUAUUUUCUUUUUUUUGGUAUUUCUCUCUUUUAUGAUUGUAUCAGCUUUUGCUGAGGAGACGGGUUUAUGGUAAAAACCCGAUUCGACGUUUCCGUUGCGGAAUCCCAACAAUCAAUACCGGAUCCACAGCAAUCGGUAUCGGAGCGGGUUGUGGAUU
rnacentral:lncRNA from 1 species